CGCAGCUGCCGAGCAACGGGUGCGGGGCCGCCGGUGGCAGCGGGGUUGGGGGUCGAGUGAAGGGAGAGGUAGCGGGCGACAGCCGAGGAUCAAGUCCCGAAAUGGUGAAAACGUCUGCAGCGCCCAAGCGCUUCUCCCAACUUAGCCAAACCCAUGAGCUCGGCUCGCAGGCAGCGCCGCUGGUGCCCGGCGAGGCCUGCGCCGUGCAGCUGUGCUCGCACCCACCGCCAGCACAGACCACGGCGGAGGCCGCUGGCGGCUGCCGGAGGCACCGUGGCGGAAUGCAGCUCCACGGUUGAUGGAUGCUCGAAUUCCAGGUCCCCUCCAACCUGAACCAUUCUGAAUCUAUGAAUCUGAAUGAGCUACUCAUUUACAAGAAGAGUCUGCCAAAAAGAAGUCACUUUUAUCCCAGCAAAGAGAGAAGAAAGCCCUCCAGAGUCUCCAGGCAGUGGUCUGACAGUGACUCAGUACUCCACAUCUCAUCAGUGCAUUACCCAAAGCUGUCCUUUGCUUGUCACAGCCCAAAAAAGCCUUUGUCUUGUGCAAAGAAAAAGACAUUUGAGCAUUUCUAAGUGCAGCUUUGAGACCAACACUCACACCCCCCAAAAAAAAUAUUUGCUUGAGAUAAGUGUUUUGUGCCAGAACUAUCUGAGGUGGAAAGAGCACAAGAAGCCAAGCAGUGUGUCUCUGGUGGAGAAAGAAAUGCCCUGCAACUGCCUUGGCUGCCAGUGGAGGUUGUGGUGUUGGAACAAAAGACUGCAUUGAGACAAAUGCAGUCCUGGAAAGUGAUAAAUGUC